AAUUAUGGGUUAGUAUUAGCAAUUGUUAUCCAUAUCAAUAUUUUAAUUGUUUGAGCACUAUAUGUAGAGAAGUUAGUUAGAGUCACUUGAUCAUAAUCAUUUAUUGAUACCUAAAUCACCAUCGAUAAAGAGCUCCUGAAUAGUAUCAAUAAUAUCGAAGAAGAAGAAGCAAAGUCAUUUAUUCAAUCAUGGCCAAGAUGAUCAGUAUGUGCUUUUGCUUCUUCUUAUUUGUCUUGAUUGUCAUGCCAAACCCCUCUUCUUCGAGCAGGAUGCUACUCGUCAAGGAGAAGUGGGAUAGUGUCCACCGCCAACUUAAGUGCCUCUGCUAUGCAGAACCGGUUGAAUGCCCACCGCUAGAAUGCCCAAAUGGUCAGUACACACCGUGUUGUGAAUAUUGUCCAAGAUGCCGUCCUGUUUAAAUGGCGUAUUGGAGACUGAUUGUAUUGUACUGCGUUCCAUUAAUUUUAUUGUCACCUAGAGUAUCUUUGUGAUUGUUGUGUGCCGGUGGUGGUAUUUUGUUUUCGCCUCUUAAUUCCCCGCAGUUUAUUUGCUGGUAUAUUAUAUUUUUAUGCACCCAUGUUUGUACUCUAUUGAAUCUCUUCAUGAAUUUGAAGUGGCUCCCUCGUUGUGUUAAGCGGUGUCUACAAUAGCUAAUUUCUGAGAAGAACAAAAAAAUGCUAAUAUUUACAUCAAGUAAAAUCUUUCAGCAACAAGAAA